CAUUCACUCCGGGGAGACCGCAUUACAAAACCUACAUGUCAAGGAACUGAAGUCUCCUGCCAAGAGUUACGUGAGUGGCGGAGGAUCUGGUCAGAUAAGACUGCAGCCGCAGCCAACAGUUUCACUGCAACCUAACGAGAGAUCCUGAGCUAGCAUCCCCCAGCCACGCUGUUCCUAGUUUCCUGACCCUCAGACAGGGUGUGAGAUGGAUAAGUGCUAUUUCAAGCUGCUGAACUUUGGGAUAAUGUGUCCUGCAGCGAAGCAUAACUAAUACAAUCCCAAAUAAUUCAUCUAUUUCUACAGUUUCAAGCCAAACCUGAAAUUUAACUGGUAUGUGGGCAAGACACUUUGAUAAAGUGUUUCCCAAGUUAGCCAAAUGAAUGAACAGAUGAGAACGGUCUAGAAAAUACAGUGGAAUGUUGAACUCUCUACUGCCAGUAUUCAGACUUCUAAAACAAACAUUUCAGUCCUGACACACACACACAAAAAAACAGAUAGAUUGAAAUAAGAAAGCGCAGUUGUUGCUGUUUAAUCACUAAGCUGUGUCUGACUCUUUUGCAACCCCAUGAACUGCAGCCUGCCAGGUUCUUCUGUCCAUGGGAUUUUCCAGGCAGGAAUACCAGACUGGGUUGCCAUUUCCUUCUCCAGGGGGUCUUCCCAACCCAGGGAUCAAACCAGUCUCCUGCAUUGCAGGCGGAUUCUUUACCACUGAGCCAGCAGGGAAACCUGAGACAGCCGAUACUCAGAUCCAAAUACGUAUAUAAUUAGAAUGUGACCCAACUGACACCUAAUAACAGGGUGAAGGAGAGGAUGGCUAUUUAUUCAAUAAACAGAGCUGGGACAAUUAGCCAGAUCCUUGCUUGGUACCUGUGAUUGUACCAGGAUAGCCCUCAAGGGUCAUGACCUUAGGGCUUCUGUGACAUGCAAAAGAAUAACUACUGCGUAAUUAGUCAUAAUCGUGGGAAACUUCAAAAUAACAGGUGGAUUCAAUAAAAGGGGCUUAGAUUAAUAAAUCAUGGUGAGUCUAUAGAAUGAAAUCCUAUACAGACAUUAGAACUGACGUUGAGCAUAUCUGUUGGCAUAAAAGGGUAAUCGUGAUAUAUUACUAGGGGAAAAUCAUGUGUAGGGUGCUCCCAGCCUACUGUAUCAGGACAAAGAGUAUUUUAACCCCCAGUGCCUUCUAAAGAGAGUAGACAGGUCCUAAUAAAAGGAAAGGCACAGAGUCUUGCCUAGUGCUCCCGUUGUUAAAAAUUCACCUGCCCAUGCAGGGGACAUGGGUUUGAUCCCUGGUCCAGAAACUGGGAUCCCACAUGCCGCAGGCGACUAAGCACAUGAGCCACAACUAGUGAAGCGGACGUGCCUAGAGCCUAUGCUCUGCAACAAGAGAAAUAAGAAAGCAGUGAGAAACCCGGGGACCACAGCUAGAGAGCAGCUUCCGCUCUCCACAGCUAGAGGAAGUGCCCGCACAGCAGCGAAAAUCCUGCACAUACAAAAAUAAAUAAGUAAAUCCUGAAAAAAAAAAAAAAAAAAAAGGAGCGGCCCAUGAACUUCUGGAAACCAUGCUAGGUUUAGAUAUGCACAUUUGGGAGGCCAAGCUGUGGUGAGCUGACUUGCUCCAGGACUGAAAACCAGGAUCUCUGAGCCCACAGGAGGCAGGGGAAGAAGCAAAGCGACGGCCACACACCUGAGACGGUGGACCACUCUGCCCCAGAUCUUCAUCAAAAUGAUUUAACUCAUAAAACGCUUGUUGUGAGAUUUAUUUAAAAAAGAAAAAAAAGUGAACUUUAAUGGGACAUAGUAGUGGAAGGCAUGUGGGCGCGAGUGCCAGGUAUUAGCAGAGUUCAUGAGCAGAGCUUGGGGCUUUCCCCACCAUGGAAUUGCUGGGGUCGGAGUACACAGGUUGAGAAUACCAAUGCUGAUGUUAAAUAAAAAGCACAGGCACACACAUUUGUGAUUAUAGCUUCAGAGCCCAGGGUUGCAGCCAGCCAGACCUGACCUUCCAGUGGCGCAGAGCUUCUUGGGUAAUCAGGUCUCUGCACAAGGCUUUGAUCAGCGUUCAGUGGGUGCGGUAAGUUAUGUCAGAGCCAUGUGGCCAGGCUCACAGUAGGUGGCAAGGGGAGUUGUUUCCUGCUCCUUAAUAUGGGACUGAGUUCCUCACUAACUUGGUGAAUCAACAUACUAGGCGGGGGUGGUGGGUGUUGGGAGCUAAUUCUAUGUCCCCAGAUUCCUUCUGGUUUACAGGAAGUCCUAAAUCCUGCACAGGCGUGUUUCCUGAGCCUGGGACUGAUACACAAAACAAGCAGAAAUCAGCUGAUUUUCUACUACAGUUUGAACUUGUGGCUGCCAGCACUCGGGGAGUCCAGGAAUGCACCAGCAUUCCAAGAGGUGGAGACACUGAUGGAGAGAAAACACGGGGCAGUGUGAAGUCUGGUCAUAUCCCCACGGCCCCAUGCCUCUCUGAGACUACCCCACCCUCCCUGUUAUCAGAGUCCCCUUCCGCUUCACCUCCUCUCCGUUAAGGUCAUUACGACCAGUUACUUGGCUAGUCCUGCAUUUGUCUUGCCAAGGAUGCCACAGGGGUGGACUGGACAUGACACCAAGGACCUGGGCCAGACCCUCUCUAAGGGCUGUUUCUGAUGGCCCAUUUACCACUGGAGGUCCCUCCUGGGCUCUGCUCUCUCUUUGAUGGCAGCCAUCCCACCUCCUUGCUGCCCAGCCCCCCUUCCAUCACCUCCCCCAGAAAGCCAGUGACACAGCAAAAAAAAGGUAGUUUCCAGAAAUGAUCCUUGGCUCACUGGAUGCCGAGUCCUUUGGGCUGCACACCGCUCGUAUAGCAGGGAGCUCUGGGUCCUCAGGUGGAGGGAAUAUUGAGCGGGCUGCCCCCUCUCCAUCACAGACAACCUACGCUCAUCUGCACUCCCGCUCCCUAAACCUCUCCAGGAGCCCUAGUCCUGCUAAUUAGAAAAUGCUUGACUCCAUCCAAAUCCCCCUGGAACCAGGCCACUCAGCACAAGUAUAACAGAUUGACUCAGUGUCAGUCCAGGACUGAUUCUUAUUAACUCAAAGGGCAGGAGGCGACUCUGAGGCCGCAGAUGGCAAACAGGCUUGUGCUAUGGGCAGUCGCCCACACAGCCCUCCCCAGGUCCCCUGACUAAAGACCACAUGUCGGCCAGGCCUGCCUGCUGCCUCUCUCAGCUGCAGAGUCACCUCCAAACCACAGGCCUGGCCCCACCAGGCCCCUAGCCUGUCCCGCCCAGUGGAGAGGAGCAGCACUGCCCCCACCCUAUAAGUACCUGAGAACUCCAGGGAGCCCUGGGCUCCUAUCUGGGCCCAGAAGAGCGAGCAGAGAUCACUCCCAAUACUUCCUGCAUGCCCACCAUGAGGCCACAGGCACUGUGAUAAGGCCUUUCUUCUCCUAACUUCUUUAAUUUUUAGAAUAAGAUUAUGAGGCAGACAGUUUUAUUAUUCAAAGGUCAAUUUUGUUGUCAAAGUUGACAGCUGCUAAUGAUCCAGGACCUAAACCUAAGUCUUAGUGAGCCCUAACAGGUUCUGCCCUUUCAUCCUCCACCUCCACCCUCUGGGUUCUUGUUCUGAGCUGAACAGUCCUUCUGGGGCCAUGCAGUGGUGUCUCACCUCCCCAGUGGUCACUCCUGGUGGGUAUGGACAAAAAUACAUGUGCCUCCUGCUCCUUGCCACCAUCUGCCCACAGACCACAUCUGUCCCUGUGGGAUCCCACAUGCCAUUCAGCUUGAAGAAGCGACCGCCACCUCCAGGCUGCUUUUGGGAGCAGUGAGAAGGCUGAGCAGAGGCUGUGAGCUAGGCAAACAGCCUCCCACAGGCUGGGUCCUCAGUUCCCUACAAAGGGGGAUUCCAGCCCCAAUCCUCACUUCCCCAAGCUGUGGGACUUAGAGUAGAGAUGGCUGGUGUCCUUCAAUAUCUAGCCUCGCCUCUUCUUCCUGGGCAUACAGAGACCUUGACCUGGCAGCUUAACGUGGCUUUGGGCACGAGUGAUGUGCAAGCAUCCAGGCCUCUUUCCUAAGAUUCUCCCUCACUGGGUCCUCACCCUCUUCCCCGCUCCAGCCACCAGCUGACUAGACUAGAGCCUUCAAAGCCCUAUCGGAGGGUGGGGUCACAAGAUGGAAGGAGUCCGGGUCCCUGAAAGACUGUGUGGAGCAGAGUAUUUGCCACCCCAACCCCUCGGCCCUCCACCAGAGACUGUGACAUGAGCAAAAAACAUGUAUUUUUUAAAGCCAUCAAGGUUUAGGGGAUAUUUGCCAUAAUGGUUAGUCUAUCCUGACUCUAAUGCAGUGGUCUUUUAACUUGAACCUGUGUUAGAAUCACCAAGUGGAAGUGAAAGUGUUAGUUGCUCAGUCACGUCCGACUCUUUGCAACCCCCCUGUCCAUGGAUUUCUCCAGGCAAGAAUACUGGGGUGGGUAGCCAUUCCCUUCUCCAGGGGAUCUUCCUGACUCAGGGAUCAAACCUGGGUCUCCUGCAUUGCAGGCAGAUUCUUUACCGUCUGAGUCAUCGGGGAUGCCCCAGAACCACCAAAGGGCUGGUUACAACAGUGACUGCUGAGCUCUAUUCCUGAGUUUCUGAUACCACAGGCCCAGAGCGGGACCACAAAAUUUGCAUGUUUAACGAGUUCCCAAGUGACACCACAGCUGCUGGUCUAGGGGGUCACACGUAGAGAAUCAUCGCACCAUUGCUGAAGCUGCAGUGUUAUAAUCCGUAUCACCACUUUACAGAGGAAAUGGUCCCCAGUCCCUGUCUGUUUCACUGCCACUGUGCUGCCUCCACACUAGGCCACAUCCGUGUGUGGCCCCCCACAUCUGCCCCUUCUCUGCUCACGGAUUGUGUCCUGUGAGUUGGGGUCUUCAGCCAGGGUGGGAACAGUCCUUGGAGUAGACAUCCUGGGCUAUCAACCCAGUUCUGCUACUCAGCAUGCGCGGCACCCACGUGUUCCGCUUCCUCUAACGCCAAACAUACCUCACCUGCCCAGCAGUGUUGCCCAAAGUAGGUCUUUUAGUGAGGCUAUCUGACUGUUGCCCUUGAGCAGCAGAUACUUGGAACAGAAGGAACGAAUAUUGGUCCUAGAUGAGCCCAUUCCAGCCUCAUUCCUGAGAACCACGUGGACGUUCACCGGUAUUGCUGCCUCCAAGGCCAGUGACUGACAUUUGUCCCCGUACAGAGUUGGGGUGGAGGAAGGUGGGGGGUGGGAUAUAGAAAGAGACAAAAACACAGUUGAAAACUUUUAACGCACACCUUGGCCAGGGGUAAGAAUUGUGUUGCCCGGAGGAAGGAGGGGAGUUCACCAGCCGGGGACUGGGCCCCCACACCCCAGCUUCUUAGAACAUCCUCAUAGAUUCUCUUUUAUAUGAGAAUCCUGCAAGACACCCCCACCCCCUGCAGCUUCCAAGAAUGGUUUUAAGAUCCACAGAGAGGGGAGGUGACCAGAUGUUCUGUUGACUGUGGAGGAGCCAAUUUCAUUCUCAGGGCCCUGGUGAUCCCACACUCCUGGAUCAUCCCUCAAGGAGCCCUCAAAUCCAGGCUGUGGCCUGGAUUUAGCCAACGGGCAAUAGUGGUCCCCUGAGCUUAGAUGGGCGAGACUGGAAGGGGUAACUUGGGAUAUGACUGAGAUUUACAAUUGGAGGAACAGAAGACAAAUUCUACAUGUCUGCAGGAGUAGGUGACCCCAUGGGUCUAAAGCGGCUUUGCUGACAGUGGGCUCUCUGGGCAGCAGACGACCGGAGCCAUCCAGUCCCCACUGAGAAGGCAGCCAGUUCCCUUAGGACCCCUCUGAUAGUGGCUGGCCCUGACCAAGGGCACCCAGGAGACACCCUCAUCCCCUGGCUCCACUUCACAGUGAGAAGUUGGCUCCUUUGGACUUCCUGAAUGGGUCCUAUUUUUUAAAAAGUGAACUCUGCCAGAGAAACAAGAAGUGGAAGGAAAUUUGGAAUAAGCAGGAGAUCGUGGGUGGAAACCUCUGCCUGGUUUAGAGCACAGCCUUCAGUUAUCUGAUCCUGAUUCUCAAAUUUCACUGCCUUUGAGCUGUUUUGCAACUCUUUAAGUUGUAGUUAAUGCAAAAUACUUCUUGUUUAUGGACAUGCAUAUAGUAUAUUUGAAUGAUCCUCCAGGAAAAGGGAAUGACCAUUGACAUUUUCCCCCUGAAAAAAGGCCAGUCUCAACAUUCCUUUACUCUGUAUAGAUUUACAGUCCACUGCAAUUUCUCCUUUGAAUUGCUUGUUAAUCUUACCAGAUCCAUCGAUUAAUUAAUGAGUUAAAUCUUUCACACGUGCAUGUUUAACAUUUAGAUGAGUGAUGC
ensembl:lncRNA